rnacentral:rRNA from 1 species
GACGAACGCUGGCGGCGUGCUUAACACAUGCAAGUCUAACGGAAAGGCCCUGCUUUUGUGGGGUGCUCGAGUGGCGCACGUGUGUGUAACACGUGAAUAACCUGCCCUUGACUUUGGUAUAACUUCAGGAAACUGUGGCUAAUACCGGAUAGGCGCUCCUGCUUCAUGGUGGGGUUUGGAAAGUUUCGGCGGUUGGGGAUGGACUCGCGGCUUAUCAGCUUGUUGGUGGGGUAGUGGCUUACCAAGGCUUUGACGGGUAGCCGGCCUGAGAGGGUGACCGGCCACAUUGGGACUGAGAUACGGCCCAGACUCCUACGGGAGGCAGCAGUGGGGAAUAUUGCACAAUGGGCGGAAGCCUGAUGCAGCAACGCCGCGUGCGGGAUGACGGCCUUCGGGUUGUAAACCGCUUUCGCCUGUGACGAAGCGUGAGUGACGGUAAUGGGUAAAGAAGCACCGGCUAACUACGUG